AAAGCUAUAUUUGCAUCAAAACUUUGACAAUUGGACGAAAUUGGUGGCUUCGAUGUCCUUGCCACGACGCACCCACCCAACCUUGGGUGCCCCAAGAAUAAUAUUGGAGGCACACCCCAUCUCCGGCAGACCGGAGUCUAUUCCUGGUGGAUUAGGAUCGGCUCAUCUCCCCGCCCAAGAAACACUCAAGGCCGAUCUCAGACCGUCGCCCAGAUGAAAAGCGGUCAAAGCGGCAACAACCGAAGGGAAAUUUUUAGACGCUUAAUACUACAAGUGUCAGGCAAAAAUCGCCGCACGGCACUAAAUUGGAGGCGUUUGCCAACCGGGUCGCCUAAUCCUGAGGAGCUCCAAGGGAAAAGAAGGGACGUGCUGAAAAUGUAGUUGGACGCGCGGCCAUGGUUCGGAAUUAAGCCUCUAAUUUUAGAUUAGAUUUUACAAGUUCCUCGUCGGAUGUGGUUGAAACUGCAGCCAGAAUGGAAAAAUCGCUAGCGGCGAAAACCAGCGCGAGUCCGCACGGAGCCAAUUGGUCCGGAGGAUGGCGCAGCGUCCGCGUAAGAGGGGCCGGAGGCAGUGCGUCGGUGGACUUGGAGAUGACCACGUGGCCAGCGCGGGCAUUCGUUCCCGGAACGGACUCACCGAGGGAAUCUCCGUGUCUGGCCGUCUCGGAGGCAGUCGCUGUAGCUGCUGGCGCUGGAGGCUGCUGCUGCUGCUCCUGAUCGCUGCUGCGGCUGAUGCUGCUGCGGCUGAUGCUGCUGCGGCCGAUGCUGCUGCGGCUGAUGCUGCUGCGGCUGAUGCUGCGGCUGAUGCUGCUGCGGCUG